GUGUUGGUGAUAAUGAAGUCAUAAGCAUCAACAAACGCCGAAACGUCGGCCGAUAAAGUUCUUCUUGCAAAAAUCAUCAACUGCGCCGCAAUAUCAGCCGACAACCCCAAAUGCGCUAUCAAAUCCACUACGCCCCAACAUCAGCCGACAAACCCAAAUGCGCAAUCAACAUCCACUACGCCCAAACAUCAGCCGACAAACCAAAAUGCGCAAUCAACAUCCACUACGCUCAAACAUCAGCCGACAAAACCAAAUGCGCAAUAAACAUCCACUACGCCCCAACAUCAGCCGACAAACCCAAAUGCGCAAUCAACAUCCACUACGCCAAAACAUCAGCCGACAAACCCAACUGCGCAAUCAACAUCCACUACGCCCAAAUAUCAGCCGACAAACCCAAAUGCGCAAUCAACAUCAACUACGCACCAACAUCAGCAGCACUAUUGUUAAUAUUUAAUACAAGUCUUUUCGCUGCAAGUUCAUGCCCAUUCCUGGAAAGCCCGUGUAAAAUAGGGUAUACGAGUAAAUGUGACGCACCCAUGGCACGAUCAUGUGUAUCCACCGGUGCAUAAUAGAUGACAGAGUCUGCAAGAACAAAGGGGAUUGCUUAUACGACUCUCGAGAAAACAUAACAUUUUGUCUCUGUAAAGAAGACUCUCAUUACGUCUACAAAGGGGAUCACUGCGAGGUCAAGGUCGAAAAGCUGGCGUUGCAGUCUAAGUAUAUCGCUGCGAUAGCUGGAAGUAUCGGGGGCGCCAUUGUGAUUGCGGCCAUCACAGCGAUUGUGUGUCUUGUGUACAGAUUGCGGAAGAAAAUUCUAAGCAACCAUGUAGGCCUCAUGAAUUGCAAGAAGCGCAAGUCCCACAAGAAGCAAGCGAGAUCAAAUACUCACUGGGACGCCACGGCGGCACGUGGUACCAGUGAUUUCCACCCGUACGCAACCAGCACUGACAGGGGCACACCAUUGACACGUGGUGUUAUUGUUCCCCAUCCGCCAGAGAGAAGUAAAGCUCGUAGUCCACAAUCAAAUACAAAUGACACUGAAUUGGAGGGACAAGAGAAACGAAGAGGAGUUAAUUAUCACCCGUCCGGUAAGAACACCUAUUGGGACGCACUGGAUGCGCGUGGUAGCCGCGAUUCCCACCCGUAUUCCUCAUACCUCGAAGUGCGGAAGAGUCAAAGGACGAUUGAAAAACACAAAAAAACAUGUUGCGACAGGAUUUAUCGGGCAUGAGGUAUGGUAAAAACCUUUACAAAAUAGUUGUUAGUAACACAAUACAGUUUGCGGUUCUCAGCGUCGACGUUUUGGAUAUCACAUAUGUCAGAGGUCCCAGCUCAAAAUACCGCACGGCGCUCACGUGCAUCGGACUCAGCCGUUGCAUUCCGCCGAGGGAGACCUCUAUCAGUCGGUAAACAGCACGUCUCAUUACGACUACAUCGACGCUGUAUCAAACGCUGAAGUGGGAAAUAUGUAACAGUGUGUACGUUUAAAGUGCUCACUUCCGUAACGUCUAAGACUGCUUGAGGAAGCCAACGGUCUGUCGUGGUGCUAUCUCCGGCAUGGGAAUCGAGUGGACUACGUGUGACGUAACGAACUAGCAUUCGAUGCCUCAAAAGUUAAACACUAUAUUGUUUUGUCUUCGUUGAGGGUAUUUGUAGACACCACGACUAUGCAUAUAAUCGUGUAUCCAUUAUAUAAUAGGAAGCGCGCAUACAAGCAUACUAUGUCCCAUGGACAGAUUUUAUAGGGCAGCCAAAUCCCUCAUCAUCUGUGAAUGUGUUUACAAGGUUAUGUAAUUAUCGAGUGUUUACUUUUCAGGAAAAUGCAUGUAUGCUUCCUGAUUACUGAAUAUGUUGUAUACGUCAUAUAUGUGAUCGAUUUGCUCAGAUAAUGCUACAUUGUGAAUCCAUAGAUGAUCCAUAGGUGAUUAAUAAAGUUCAGCUUAUGACUGAAUUUGCUGCUUUCA